GAUGAACGCUAGCUACAGGCUUAACACAUGCAAGUCGAGGGGAAACGGCAUCGAAAGCUUGCUUUUGAUGGGCGUCGACCGGCGCACGGGUGAGUAACGCGUAUCCAACCUGCCCAUCACUUGGGAAUAACCUUGCGAAAGUAAGACUAAUGCCCAAUGACAUCCCACGAAGGCAUCCGAAUGGGAUUAAAGAUUUAUCGGUGAUGGAUGGGGAUGCGUCUGAUUAGCUUGUUGGCGGGGUGACGGCCCACCAAGGCAACGAUCAGUAGGGGUUCUGAGAGGAAGGUCCCCCACAUUGGAGCCGAGACACGGUCCAAACUCCUACGGGAGGCAGCAGUGAGGAAUAUUGGGCAAUGGGCGAGAGCCUGAACCAGCCAAGUAGCGUGCAGGAUGACGGCCCUAUGGGUUGUAAACUGCUUUUAUAAGGGAAUAAAGUGGGUCACGUGUGACUUUUUGCAUGUACCUUAUGAAUAAGGACCGGCUAAUUCCGUG
rnacentral:rRNA from 1 species